AGUGAACGCUGGCGGUAGGCCUAACACAUGCAAGUCGAACGGCAGCACAGUAAGAGCUUGCUCUUACGGGUGGCGAGUGGCGGACGGGUGAGGAAUACAUCGGAAUCUACUUUUUCGUGGGGGAUAACGUAGGGAAACUUACGCUAAUACCGCAUACGACCUACGGGUGAAAGCAGGGGAUCUUCGGACCUUGCGCGAUUGAAUGAGCCGAUGUCGGAUUAGCUAGUUGGCGGGGUAAAGGCCCACCAAGGCGACGAUCCGUAGCUGGUCUGAGAGGGUGGACAGCCACACUGGAACAGGGACACGGUCCCGGAUCCUAAGGGAGGGCAGAGGGGGGAAUAUUGGACAAUGGGCGCAAGCCUGAUCCAGCCAUACCGCGUGGGUGAAGAAGGCCUUCGGGUUGUAAAGCCCUUUUGUUGGGAAAGAAAAGCAGCAGGUUAAUACCCCGCUGUUCUGACGGUACCCAAAGAAUAAGCACCGGCUAACUUCGUG
rnacentral:rRNA from 1 species